CAGGCAGGCUGGCUACCGAUAUGGACAGGGAAUAGACACGAGGAGGAGAUGAGAGGACAUUGGUAAGACAAGAGAUCGGCUACAACUCGACGUGGACGGUUCAACACAUGCAGUCACAAAGAGGAAAGAAAGGUGACAUGGAAAAGAGCUGCCACUGAGAGGAAGAAGAGAGAGAGAGAGAAAGUGAACGGUGAAUCUGGACUGAAAGAGAUGCCAGGACCCCUGGGCCUGGGAAAUGCACACACAUCAAACAGUAUGAAGCUGCCUGGACCUGAUGACAGCGCUGCUAUACACAGCCACAGACUGGCUGCACAGUGACAAUACUCCCUGCAGAAAAACACCCUCUUUGUAGGUGAAUGAGUGGCCCAGUCGGGAUUACUUACUGCAAGGCUCUUCUUUACCCUCCAACCGGUAUACAGCUGGACUCCAGCAGUACUCCAUCUCAGAGGCUAAAAACAGACAGAGACACCCUUAACAAGGCCUUAUUAGAUUAGACUCAAGUGAUCCUCAGCUGGAUGUUUAAAUAAGUCACAAGCUUCCAGGUAUUCAGUGCUAACCAAGUGACAAGAGACUGCCGUCUUUGCUUGGACUGUGCCAGGCAAGGCGGCCAUUUUGGGUCCUUGUGGACGGACGGGCAGCCAUACCGUGUUGGUGUCUAUCAGCUGCUCAGUAGUCAGUGUAGAUCCUGUGGGGCAGUCAGCAGCUACAUCUGGCUACUGGGUCUCUGAUGGCUGCCAUGUUCUUCAUGUCUUGAAUAUUGUGAAUGUAUCAAUUAUCAAAUACAGUGGGGGGAAAAAAGUAUUUAGUCAGCCACCAAUUGUGCAAGUUCUCCCACUUAAAAAG